rnacentral:tRNA from 1 species
GCCUUCGUGGUGCAGUGGUUAGCACGUUCGACGCGUAACCGAGAGAUAUGUGGUUCAAUUCCCGGCGAAGGCG